GUUUUACCGGCCGGGGAGUAACACGUGCCUCACCUACCUAUAAGACUGGGAUAACUCCGGGAAACCGGGGCUAAUACCGGAUAAUAUUUUGAACCGCAUGGUUCAAUAGUGAAAGACGGUUUCGGCUGUCACUUAUAGAUGGACCCGCGCCGUAUUAGCUAGUUGGUAAGGUAACGGCUUACCAAGGCGACGAUACGUAGCCGACCUGAGAGGGUGAUCGGCCACACUGGAACUGAGACACGGUCCAGACUCCUACGGGAGGCAGCAGUAGGGAAUCUUCCGCAGUGGGCGAAAGCCUGACGGAGCAACGCCGCGUGAGUGAUGAAGGUCUUCGGAUCGUAAAACUCUGUUGUUAGGGAAGAACAAAUUUGUUAGUAACUGAACAAGUCUUGACGGUACCUAACCAGAAAGCCACGGCUAACUACGUGCCAGCAGCCGCGGUAAUACGUAGGUGGCAAGCGUUAUCCGGAAUUAUUGCGCGUAAAGCGCGCGUAGGCGGUUUCUUAAGUCUGAUGUGAAAGCCCACGGCUCAACCGUGGAGGGUCAUUGAAACUGGGAAACUUGAGUGCAGAAGAGGAGAGUGAAUUCCAUGUGUAGCGGUGAAAUGCGCAGAGAUAUGGAGGACACCAGUGGCGAAGGCGGCUCUCUGGUCUGUAACUGACGCUGAUGUGCGAAAGCGUGGGGAUCAACAGGAUUAGAUACCCUGGUAGUCCACGCCGUAAAUCGAUGAGUGCUGAUGUCGUUCAGGGGGUUUGCCGCCUCUUUAGCUGCUGCAAGCUGAACAGCAUUAAUGCUCCUCCGCCUGGAGUAGUACGAUCCGCAGAUGUUUCGAAUACUCAAUACGCAAGUUGACGGGCGGACGCGGCCUCUAGCGUGUGGGAGCAUGUGAGAUCUGACUCGGAGGCAUCGUCGGAAGCCACCUUAUCAAGUCAUAGACAUCGUUGACAGCUCUAGCAGAUAGGAGGUCCUGCCACUCAGGUGGACAAGCUGAUCAGGUGUAGCCAAUCG
rnacentral:rRNA from 1 species